rfam:Myotis lucifugus cont2.15959, whole genome shotgun sequence.
UGUGCACUGGUGGGGUCCCUCGGCCUGGCCGGUGCUCUCUGACAUCCCCUUAGGGGUUCCGGAUUGCAAGAGGGCACAGGCCAGGCCGAGGGACCCCACCAGUGCACA